GGGCCGUUAGCUCAGUUGGUAGAGCAACUGACUUUUAAUCAGUGGGUCGCUGGUUCGAAUCCAGCACGGCUCACCA
rnacentral:tRNA from 4 species